GAUUAGGGUUAUAGAUUCUCUUUAAGGCAAAGGCUUAUACAACCUGUCAGGUGGUGAAGAUACUGCACAUGAAGCAUUCUGACGUGGCUCACCUCUGCAGGACAUGGGUCAGCUUGGGAUGGGGACAGGAAACACUGUCCUGUCUGAUGUAGGUGUUCCAGCAGGCCAGCCCUGUGAAGACAGAUGCAGGGCCCUCCCUCAUGAAGGGAAAAAAGAAUGAUAAUUUGAGCUGCUCUUGCAUAAUAGCAAGUUAAUAAAGUCACAUGAGAAUAUUGUCACUAUGCUUGGAUUUAGUGAACUUAACUCUAAGACUUUGUAAAAUGUUAUUUUCCAUGCUGAAUUUAAUUUUCAUUGAUGUAUAUUUUGUAAAUUGACACAACUCCUACGGUUAGUAAAAAAUGUAAAUAUGUGUAAACAAAACUAAAAGUAGGCGCAUAUUCAUAAAAGAUAUUAUAAAAAUAAUCUUUUACAUACCCAGUGCCCUAACACUUGCUUAUUCAAAACUGAACAAUGACUGGAAUCCAUCCAGAUGCAGACAAAUGCUAAAUACUGCCAGUAUACUGCCAGUAUAAAACCACUCUCUCUUGGUAGUACUCAGUGUCCCUGUGGGAAUAGUGACUCGUACAUUGCCAUCCAUAAUAGCUGCUUUCCCAGGAGCAGAGGGGAAGAGAAUGUUUGUACAACCAACUUUGCUGCCUUCAGUGGAUUUAUGUGACUAUGUAAUGGAGUAAUGGAGAUUAACAAGAAAGUGCUGUUUAUUUUCAGAGACUGUAUGGAACUCAGCAGAAAAGGUUUUUUGUAUCCCUACAUACACAUAUACACACACCCAGUAUCAGCUGUCUGGAAUUAACUUUUACACAAAUCUGGCACGGAGUCUGGCUGUUCUAGAGACUUUCUUUUUCUCCAGAAGCUGGAAUUAAUGAAGAUACUAUGUCUACUGAAAAAUGAGAUUUUUGGAAAGUAGAAGCAGGGCAUUCUCAGUAUGUGUAAUUUAUAUUCAGUCUACAUAUGGUAUGUGAAAGUUCUCUUUAAUUUUUUGUACAUAUAUAAAAUGAUCUGUUUGGGAAAAGACAUUUGCCUUUGUCAAAUAACGAUCUUAGAAAACUCAUAGAAAAGGAAAAUAAGCAAACUCCAUUUUCAAAGACAGGGGUUCAAUAGUUUUUCUAUAACAAGCAGUCAAUUUGGGGAUUUUUUUGGCCGUACUGAAAACUGAAGCAAAAAGAAUUGUCCAGAAAUCAGAUAGGUUUUCAAAAAAAUCCAUCAAUAUUUUACUAGAAAUCAAAGUAAACAUAAAAAUGUCUUUCAGUCAAAUAAAUUGUUGAAAUGCCCUUUUUGCUUUUCCCAGGAUGAAUGUUGCAGUAAUUGUAGCUUAAAGAGUUUAUAUAAAAAUUUUAAAUAACAAAAUGUAGAAGGUUACAAUCCAGAAAUAUCAGAAUAUUCUACAGUAUCUACUUUCUUAUUUUAUCUUAAAUUCAACCUUUUUACAAUAAGCUUAGUUAGAAGAAGAAAGCUAUCAGUGUAAGGGAAAAUAUAAUAGGAAAUACUGUUAAAUAUAGAGAAAAAGACAGAGUGCUUUCCCUUUUACUCAUUUUUGGAGCUUGCAGGUGGUUAAGUUCCUUAAGGAUGUUUUGGAAUUCCAAAACUAUGGUUAUUUUCCUCUUUUCUACUAAUAUUUUAUACAACUAUAUUGUAUGGUUGGUAAGAUUGCAUUUUUUAAUCUGGUAGAAAUCUGGGUUUUCUUCUGGACAACUGAGUGAUGAGUUCAGUUUGGAUUGUUCUAAAAGCCCUACGAUAAGGCAGGUUCUUAGGCUGUACAAUCUACAAAGAAUUAAAAUAAAUUAUGUUUAUUUAUUUAUAGGUUAUUUGUGGGAAAGCAAAAUAUAACAAUGGAUGCUUUCAGAAUUUGAGAAGAAAAGUCACCAAAACCACCUCUUGGUUUUGGAUAUUAAAAAAGGAUAUAUAUGCUUCAGCUAACAUAUGUACCUAUAGCAACCUACUGUUUUUGUCAGUACAAAAAAUGUUUUUAAAUAUAAUUAUAUGUUUACGGUUUGAAAGUUCUUGUACAUUUUCAUGAUCUACAGCCAGUUAGGGCUCUUGCAUGACAGCAGCUGAGGAUCUGAACUAAACUUGGUUAGGUCCUUUCAGCACUAUGUUUGCAACUUUCUGGUAAAAUUACCACCUGUAGUCACAACAAUAGAUUUAGUUACAGAACUGUAUUUUAUGAGGUUUCCUAAACACUUGUAACCAUUUAUUCUCCCCAAAAUCGUAUUUGUGUGGGCUGCAGACAGCGUGGGGGGUGUCCUAGGGAAGGUCAGACAGGGGCAGUCCGGGCAGGUAGGUAGUUCCUGCAGGGUCCUGAGAUUUUUUCAAAUGACAACUUCGUGCCUUUGCUUGAUGGACGUGCCAGUCUGCAUGGUACUAAUUCACGCUUACCACUUGCUUCUUGGUGAAAUAACUGCUCUUUGAUCUACAAAUACCAAUUGCAAUAUUAAUUGUACAUUUCUGUAAUAAAUUUUCAAGAAGCGAUUUUAUGAGUACUAAGCUUCAAACUUUCACCUUUGAUCUGAUACAAAGUGAAGCUAAGUAGAAACUGCAUCACUGUCUUUAAACUGAAGAUAGAUAUUAUUAUAUUAGCAUUAAGUGCCAAAAUUUUGGGCUGCUUCAUGUUGAGACUGUUGAAUAAAGCACUACAUUUUAAUUUUUUACAAACAGAAACAAAAGCAAAGAUUGCAACAGUUAUUCCUAGAAGUCUUACUACUUUUAUCAUAACUACUUAGGAAAGGGCUGCCUUCCCACAAAGCAUUAUAAAAAUUUUUUUUCACUCUAUUUAGUGCAAGAAACAGCAAAAAAGUUUGUAAUGAAGAUUUUACUGACAUACUUUCUUAGAAACUGUAUGCUCCCUCUGAAAAUAAAGUCAAACUGAAUUCUUAAGUACCAGUAUCAGUAAAGCUGUCAAGGUGUGUGUAUACAGCAAAAUGCAGUGCUAUGAAGAGUUGUGGAGCAUCUCUGUGGAGCAGUUGAGAGGAAUAGUUGUCUACUGCCCACUGAAUCUGCCAAAUACGUAUGUGAGGUAUUUGUUAGAUUAUAACAAGCCUUUUCCCCAUGAAUUACAUUUUCAAAUGACACAGUAUACAUGCAGCAUUCGCCCAGAGCUUUGUAGUACAAAUUACAGGGUUUACUAUUACUUAUUUAUAUUGAAAAGCCAAAGAAUCACUGAUGUUUUUAUAAUGAAUCAAUUAGUGUCACAAACAUCACUUUACAUCUGAGAUUAGAUUGCUACAAUACCCUUGAUGCUGUUAUGUUAUGAUUAGCAGCCGUCUGUGAAAUAGAAAUAAUUUGCUUCAAAGACCAUAGAAGUCCUUUUCUGGGGUUGAUUGAAGUACAGUAUCUUUUACAAUUAUUCCCCGUAUAGUAGUACAAUCCACUUAAAACAUACUUUAUUGUUAUGGAAGCUCUAGUUCUCCUUGUCUACCAUACGUGGGAAAUAAACUUAGCAUUUUAAGAGUUUAUGUUAUUUAAAGGCAAAACCACUAUAUUUAGUUUAACAGAAGUAUACAUAUGCUAUGAAAUUGACUUACUGGAGCAGUUAUAUGAGUACGAAUUAUAUUUCCACAUUCUCUAGUGCUAGGGAAAACUAGCAUAAAAAAUCAAGUCGGGAUAAUUACUGUAAGUUUUGCUAUUUUUUGCAGGGAAGGCAGGGUUUCAGCCCUGAAUGUAAGAAGGUCAGAUGCAUCACUACAUUUUAAAUUUGUGAGAUUCCUCCCUUUCCCCACCCCAGCCCCCCACCCCCCCAAAAAAGCUGCCUUUGGAGGGAGUACUUUGGUGAGCUAAAAUAUAGGAAAAAGCUCUGGUAACUAGAAAGGUGUAUAUAUCCAUCAUUAGUAUGCUGAAAAAAAAUGGAAUUGUCACUGCUUGUUCUUAUUUUAUUUAGGGCAUUUUUCUCAAGAGAUCUCUGUUUUUUACUUGAAAAAUACUUGAGGCACAGUUUGAAGUAAACACAUCAGUACCUGUGAAUCCAGACAGAAAGAUUUUUUGCUGCUGGAACUCUAAAGUUCACAAGCACUUUGUGUGAAAAGGAGUUCCAAUUCCUUUUUGAAAGAUGAAUGUGAAAUACACUUGGCUCCAAAUUUAUGCUUUGAAAUUAUUUUUAGAAAAGCAAAAAAUCCAAUAGCAGUUUUUAGGUCUUUUUGUAAUAUUCACAGCCCAUUACUUUUUCGCUAAAUGAUAAUGCCAGUAAGUAAACAUAAAAUACAUGGCAUUAUCAUUCAUUCUGCCUGCUAAAUGCUGGCAGUUAAGUAACAACUAUAUUAGCUCCAUGGAGCAUAAAACCAUAGCCUAGUAUGUUGCUGUGGUGUUACAAAAAAUAGACUAUUUUUUGACAAUCAGGAGACAUCUGUGAAUAAGUAUUGAUGGAUGUUCUCUCAAAAAACCCUAAGUAAUGCAUCCUUUAUAACUAGAGUGAAUUGCUUUUCAAAGCUGUGAUAGCAGUAGAUUACAAAAUGCUCUGUAGAUUAAAAAGACUAGCUCAAUGUAUGUAAGCAGCUAAAAAAAAAUUUCAAUAUAAAAAGCCAAAUUUGCAAGUAUAUGAUAUUUUGCAUGCAGGAACCUGUCAACUCUUCAGUUUAUUUUAUUAAAUUAUAAGUACACUAUAUACUUCUUUAUCAAUAGUCUACAUUUAUGUUUGCUCAGAGGUACAUGUUGUAUACCAAAGUUUCCUCCAUUGACUUUACAUUGACUUUACAUUGAAAGUAAGUGUCAUUUGCAUGCCGGUUUCUGGCCUAAGUUAAAAUUUGUCUGCAGUGCCAAUAUGUAGAAAAUUAUAUGUUUCGUUUUCAUUGUGG